UAAUAAGUGUUUUAUGGCACUUUUUAAAUCCAUAUCCACCUUGUGUGCAAUGUCAGUCGAUCUUCUUCAUGGAGAUCGACCAAGCAUCAACCUUUAUCUUUUAACAUCUUUGUCUGAAAAAUAUUAUGAAUAAACAAUUCAAAAUA
rnacentral:misc_RNA from 1 species